UUUUUUUUUUUUUUGGUUGUGCUGUGGCAUAUGGAAGUUCCUGGGCCAGGGAUCGAACCCGCACCACAGCAGUGACCUGAGCCAUAGUAGUGACAGUGCCAGAUCCUUAACUGCUAGGCCACCUGGGAAUUCCAGGUUGUCCGCCCUUUAAGAAGAAGUUACAUUCUGUUAAAGGUGAAGUAGGAGGCUCAAGAUCAUAUCAUUCCUUUCUUCUGUUUGUAGGAAACUCCGUUUUACAGAUGCUUUCACAUGUGGUACCUGUCAGUGUCAGGGAAGUGUUGUGACAAUCACCCUCAUGAUAGAGAAAAAGCAAAGGUGGCUCAGAGGGUACUGCCUCUGUGCUAUGGCCUGGAUGCUGGCAAGAGGCAGAAACAGGCUUAGAACCCAUUCUCCUGACUGCUGGUCAAGCACCCUUCCCACUAUAUGUGGGUGCAUAUGAAUAGAUGUAAUCCUAAAGAUAUCUUACAGGGGAUAAGAACAAACCAAAAACGGAGCUGUUCUGAGUAUAUACAUCUUUGGAUUCUCUCCAACCCAACUCCAAACCAAGGCUUGGAGAAAGGAGGAAGAAAGUAAAAUCUACAAACUAUUGCCUUAGCAUUGAUAUUUGUAAAAAAAAAAAAAAAAUUAAGACCAAGAAGUGCCUCUUUUUGCCAUGGAUGGAAGGUUUUCCAUCUUCUACACAAUCAACUAAGAGAAGAGAGUAGACUUUAAACUACAUGGUAGUGGCAUCCAAGGUAUUUUUAUCUGACGUGUUUGAACAACCACCACCAAACAUGCUUGGCUGUUUGUGUGCAACUCAUAGACCUGUAUUACUGUACGAACAUGUUAUAUACCCUUCCAAACAAACCCAAGAGAAAAGAAGAAUGACAGAAUUGAUGGUUUUGCUAACCAGGAUGUCUCCAGACAAAUGCACCCAUGUUCAUGAUUAAUUAACCAUAGUGGAUACAAAUUUAUAUGUUUUCCAGAUAAUUUAGAAUUUUGGCGGCCAGCUUCUUGCUAGAUUAGAUCCAAUGAUCACUGUCAUGUCCUCCUAAUGGGGCCACCAGGGUUCAUGCUAAGUUUUGUCAUUUCCUUGUUGCUGGCAAUAUUAAAAUUAUAUUCACUUUAUGGGAAUUCUUUGCAGAGUCUUUUCAAGAUUCUGUUGGUGUGUGAGGGGUUGUUAAAACUAAAACAUAGAAGUUGUCAAUCCAGUUAACUAGGCAUGACGUAUUUCAUGUAUUUCAUGAUAUAUUUCAUAACCCAAGCAGGGGAGCCAGAGGGGAAGCCACUGCCAAGGGGAGGCCUCACCUCUCUCCGUCCAGAUGAUGCCCACCCACCUGGCACAUGGACCCAGGAUGAUGCCAGUGUCAAUAUGGUUCCCAUCUUUACCAUAAGGUUUCAUGAUAAGAAAAAUGAAUGGAAAUAUAGGUUCCCAUCAAUUUCUUUCUCAAACAAAUGAAUCCUCCCAAGAGCCCCGUGGGGUGCAUGCAUAUCCUACUUUGGAGGCAGGUAGGGAGGCAGUAGUUUACUCCUAGUGAUUAUAAGAUAAUCACAAGGAAUCUCUCGACCUAAAGCUCGGCAGGACAAGGAUAAACCAUCCCAGACAGAAAAGACAAUUUAUUUUGCAUCUUAAAAAACUUUAAUAAUGAACUAUAACCCACAACCAGGAAAAUAUAGAAAAGUGCAGUGUUUGAUAUAAUACACUCUCUGUAUUACUACCACACAACUAUCAGCCCAGACAAAAACCAAAACAUUGUUAGCACUUUCAGAAGCCCUCAAGCUCCCCUCUCUUUUCUAGAGUGCCCUCCCUUAAAGUGAACCACUAUCCUGGUUCUUUCAGUAAAAAAAUUCCUGGCUUUUCUUUAUGGUUUUAGCCAUUCAGGCCUGUACCCCUUAGCCACAGGGUUGUUUUGUACAUUUUCACACUUUAUAUAAAAGGAAGAAGACUGCUGUGUAUUCUUUUGUAUCUUCUCUCUGGCAACAUUAUGUCUGUAAGAUAACUUCCUCUUACUGUGUAUAGUUCCAGUUUAUUCUUUUUUCAUUGCUGCAUGGUAUUCCACCAGGAUUUAGUCAUCCAUUCUACUACUGAUGGAUAUUUUGGGUGAAUCUAAUUUGAGACGAGUACAAACAUGCUGCUCAGAACAUUUUAUAUGUCUUACACACACACACACACACACACGCACGCACACACGCACACACGCACAAGCACAUACAUGUGCAUCCACAACAAUAGAAUUGCUGAAUCCUAUCUUAAUUUAAAAAAAAAAAAACUUAAGGAAAGGUAAUUCUAGUGAAUCACUUGGCAGUUAAUUUUAACAUAAACCAACUCUUAUGUAGCCAUGAAGAAAGCUCAUUAAAUUACUAGAUUUAUCUUUCCCUAGACUUUCACUCCUGCACACUGAUUAAAUUUUGAACCAAGACAUUAAAGGCAUUUAACUGUGUUAAAAAAUAGUCUGAAAAUUUCCAGUGAAUUUACUGAAGCCAAUUCUUCCCAAUCUCCUCUCCCCACCACAUAUAUAUUUUUUACAUAUUGCAAUUGCUUUUUUCCUUUUAAUGAGGGCCAAUACUGAGACAACAAAAUGUUCAUUCAGAUUUUAAAGCAAUUUUGCACCAAAAGGUUUCAAGUUAGCACUCGUAUUGAUCAAGCAUUGAAAGUCAAAAAUGUUAAUCCUGAGCUAAACCGAAGAGUGCAAAAACAAACGAUAGAGGUUAAUCCCAACCUCAGAGUCUCCAGCGUUUCAUUGCCAUCACAAGUGAUCUCCAAAUGGACUUCAUAAAUGGGACAUGCUUAUCGUGCACCAGCAAGUCUGCUCACCAGUCCCUCAUUGUCUUGUUGACAAUAGACAUAAUACGUAGCAUCUAUUAUAGUGCCAGGCAUUGCCUACAUAUUAGUUCACACAUGUGAUACUUUUUUAAUCCUUAAAACAACCCUAUGAGAUAGCUACUAUUAUUCUUCCCAUUUUACAAAAGGAAACUGAGGCACAGGGAGGGAAGGUAACUUGACCAAGGUCCCAUGGCUAUAAGUAGUUGGACUGGGAAUCAAAACCAAUCCCUGGUGCCUCAGCCCAUUGGCUACAGUACUACCUGGCAACAUGUUAGUUUUGUUCUUGCCAUUGUUGUUAUUAUUUUGAUAACAAUAAGAAUAGUCCUUUACGACCAGGGCAAAUGUGUGAGCCAUAGGUGGGAAAAAAAAAAUCUAUGUACAUUUGUUUUUAUUUGAAAAUUUUGUGAAAAUGAUUGUAACUAAGCAACUCUAAUUCUGGGAGAACUAAUUAAGAAAUGAAUUAAGGGAUUCAAUGGAUACCCAAAUUAGUCAUUAGAGCUUGAAGAUCUGGAGUUCUGGUCUAAAUCCAGCUUUGGCACUUUCAUCCAAAAUAAACAUGACCAGAUAAGUACCACAGCUCACAAUUAAAAUGGAUUUAUAUGGCUUAUGCGUCCACAUGGGAGAGGUCUCUUCCUAAUUGAAUUCGGACACCUCUUCAGUUAUUGUGGGUC
ensembl:lncRNA